UGUUAAAUUUUCAUUUAUUUGUACUGUUAAAACCUAGCAUGGCUGACGGAAUAAUCGGAUCUUAUGCUGACGUACAGGGACCAGUUUUUAAUAGUAGAAAUGGAUGAAACUUUUAAUA
rfam:Gossypium raimondii Chr05_contig_1354, whole genome shotgun sequence.